rnacentral:rRNA from 1 species
AGCGAACGUUAGCGGCAGGCCUAACACAUGCAAGUCGCACGAGAAUUGGUCUUCGGGCCAUAGUAAAGUGGCGGACGGGUGAGUAACACGUGGAUAAUCUGCCCUUCGGCGGGGGACAACAGUCCGAAAGGAUUGCUAAUACCGCAUUCGUCGGCAGGGUCCUUGGACCUUGUCGGGAAAGAUGGCCUCUUCAUGAAAGCUAUCACCGGAGGAUGAGUCCGCGGCCCAUCAGCUUGUUGGCGGGGUAACGGCCCACCAAGGCAAAGACGGGUAGCUGGUCUGAGAGGAUGAUCAGCCACACU